rnacentral:rRNA from 1 species
UUGAGUUUGAUCCUGGCUCAGAACGAACGCUGGUGGCAGGCCUAACACAUGCAAGUCGAGCGGAUCCUUCGGGAUUAGCGGCGGACGGGUGAGUAACGCGUGGGAACAUACCCUUUGGUACGGAAUAGCCUCGGGAAACUGAGAGUAAUACCGUAUGUGCCCUUCGGGGGAAAGAUUUAUCGCCAAAGGAUUGGCCCGCGUUGGAUUAGGUAGUUGGUGGGGUAAUGGCCUACCAAGCCGACGAUCCAUAGCUGGUUUGAGAGGAUGAUCAGCCACACUGGGACUGAGACACGGCCCAGACUCCUACGGGAGGCAGCAGUGGGGAAUCUUAGACAAUGGGGGAAACCCUGAUCUAGCCAUGCCGCGUGAUCGAUGAAGGCCUUAGGGUUGUAAAGAUCUUUCAGUGGGGAAGAUAAUGACGGUACCCACAGAAGAAGCCCCGGCUAACUCCGUGCCAGCAGCCGCGGUAAAAUC